rnacentral:rRNA from 1 species
ACACAUGCAAGUCGAGGGGCAGCACGGGGUAGCAAUACCCCGGUGGCGACCGGCGCACGGGUGAGUAACACGUGUGCAACCAACCCCGUACCGGGAGAUAACCCGCGGAAACGUGGACUAACACCCCAUAAUACCCUUCCCCCGCAUGGGGGGGAGUUUAAAACCCCGGUGGUACGGGACGGGCACGCGCGACAUUAGGUAGUUGGCGGGGUAACGGCCCACCAAGCUGACGAUGUCUAGGGGUUCUGAGAGGAAGGUCCCCCACACUGGAACUGAGACACGGUCCAGACUCCUACGGGAGGCAGCAGUGAGGAAUAUUGGUCAAUGGGCGAGAGCCUGAACCAGCCAAGUCGCGUGAGGGAAGAAUGGUCUAUGGCCUGUAAACCUCUUUUGUCAAGGAAGAAUAAGCGGCACGAGUGCCACCUUGCCAGUACUUGACGAAUAAGCAUCGGCUAACUCCGUGCCAGCAGCCGCGGUAAUACGGGGGAUGCGAGCGUUAUCCGGAUUUAUUGGGUUUAAAGGGCGCGUAGGCGGGACGGCAAGUCAGCGGUAAAAGACUGCAGCUAAACUGUAGCACGCCGUUGAAACUGUCGACCUGGAGACGAGACGAGGGAGGCGGAACAAGUGAAGUAGCGGUGAAAUGCAUAGAUAUCACUUGGAACCCCGAUAGCGAAGGCAGCUUCCCAGGCUCGAUCUGACGCUGAUGCGCGAGAGCGUGGGUAGCGAACAGGAUUAGAUACCCUGGUAGUCCACGCCGUAAACGAUGCUCACUGGAUCUUGGCGAUACACGGCCAGGGUUCAAGCGAAAGUAUUAAGUGAGCCACCUGGGGAGUACGUCGGCAACGAUGAAACUCAAA